rnacentral:rRNA from 1 species
AUUGAACGCUGGCGGCAUGCCUUACACAUGCAAGUCGAACGGCAGCGGGGGAGAAGCUUGCUUUUCCUGCCGGCGAGUGGCGAACGGGUGAGUAAUACAUCGGAACGUGCCCUGUCGUGGGGGAUAACUAGUCGAAAGAUUAGCUAAUACCGCGUACAACCUGAGGGUGAAAGUGGGGGACCGCAAGGCCUCAUGCUAUAGGAGCGGCCGAUGUCUGAUUAGCUAGUUGGUGGGGUAAAGGACUACCAAGGCGACGAUCAGUAGCUGGUCUGAGAGGACGAUCAGCCACACUGGGACUGAGACACGGCCCAGACUCCUACGGGAGGCAGCAGUGGGGAAUUUUGGACAAUGGGCGAAAGCCUGAUCCAGCAAUGCCGCGUGUGUGAAGAAGGCCUUCGGGUUGUAAAGCACUCUUGUCCGGAAAGAAAUGGCUCUGGUUAAUACCUGGGGUCGAUGACGGUACCGGAAGAAUAAGGACCGGCUAACUACGUGCCAGCCGCCGCUGUAA